AUACGUAGGGUGCGAGCGUUGUCCGGAAUUACUGGGCGUAAAGAGCUCGUAGGUGGUUUGUCGCGUCGUCUGUGAAAUUCCGGGGCUUAACUCCGGGCGUGCAGGCGAUACGGGCAUAACUUGAGUACUGUAGGGGAGACUGGAAUUCCUGGUGUAGCGGUGAAAUGCGCAGAUAUCAGGAGGAACACCGGUGGCGAAGGCGGGUGUCUGGGCAGUAACUGACGCUGAGGAGCGAAAGCAUGGGUAGCGAACAGGAUUAGAUACCCUGGUAGUCCAUGCCGUAAACGGUGGGCGCUAGGUGUAGGGGUCUUCCACGACUUCUGUGCCGUAGCUAACGCAUUAAGCGCCCCGCCUGGGGAGUACGGCCGCAAGGCAAAACUCAAAUGAAUUGACGGGG
rnacentral:rRNA from 1 species